rnacentral:rRNA from 1 species
AUACGGAGGAUCCGAGCGUUAUCCGGAUUUAUUGGGUUUAAAGGGUGCGCAGGCGGGAGAUUAAGUCGGCGGUGAAAUUUUGCAGCUCAACUGUAAAAGUGCCUUCGAAACUGGUUUCCUUGAGUGGAGAUGAAGUAGGCGGAAUUUGUGGUGUAGCGGUGAAAUGCAUAGAUAUCACGAGGAACUCCGAUUGCGCAGGCAGCUUACUAAACUACUACUGACGCUCAGGCACGAAGGCGUGGGGAUCAAACAGGAUUAGAUACCCUGGUAGUCCACGCAGUAAACGAUGAUUACUAGCUGUUUGCGAUACAAUGUAAGCGGCUGAGCGAAAGCGUUAAGUAAUCCACCUGGGGAGUACGUUCGCAAGAAUGAAACUCAAAUGAAUUGACGGGG